CAUAAAAGUCUAAAACCCCUUGCCCUAAAACAUUUCUCGCACUGCCAGCAUCGACUGUGUCGACACUAUCACUGCGGCGAAGGCAAGGCGACCUCCGGCGUAGACUUCCCCUCUGGCAUAGGUUUCCCCUCCACCAUCUCCCUCUAUUCGUUGUUCUUGCUUUCUCUCAUCUAUGACUGAGCUUGAGGAUUUUGGAGUUGGAACAGGAGGUUUAUUAUCUGCUGAAUGUAAUUUUUCUACUUUUUAGGGCUCUUGUUUGAUCAGAAGAAAUUGUUUUGGAGAGACCUGGAAUAGCUGGAACCUCAAUCCGGCCAGACGGGAAAAUUGCUGCAACUGCUGGUUGGGAUCACCGGGAAGGAGGAAGUGAAUGUCAGUCAAAAGAAGAAAUUAUUUGUUGCUGGUGCAACUGGAACACACUGGAAAGCGGUUUUUUUAGCAGCUUCUGUCAAAGAGUUUAAUCUUACAACUGAAGGUUGAUCAAAUAAACAAGCAGAAGACAAAAGCAGUAAAGAUACUUAAGAUUUGGUUGAUCGGUGCUAGACUCUUGCAUGUUCUAUGAAUCUUUUAUUUGAAACUUUUUUCAAACUUCUGUAAACUCUUAAAUUGUUAAACAGUAUUGUAUAUUUUGCUUUUAUAUGUGAAUAAUAGUUGUAUAUAUAUUUUGGAAUA